UACGUAUGGUGCAAGCGUUAUCCGGAUUUACUGGGUGUAAAGGGAGCGCAGGCGGAAGAUUAAGUCUGAUGUGAAAGCCCGGGGCUCAACCCCGGUACUGCAUUGGAAACUGGUCAUCUAGAGUGUCGGAGGGGUAAGUGGAAUUCCUAGUGUAGCGGUGAAAUGCGUAGAUAUUAGGAGGAACACCAGUGGCGAAGGCGGCUUACUGGACGAUAACUGACGCUGAGGCUCGAAAGCGUGGGGAGCAAACAGG
rnacentral:rRNA from 1 species